GAUGAACGCUGGCGGCGUGCUUAACACAUGCAAGUCGAACGGAAAGGCUCCUGCUUGCAGGGGUACUCGAGUGGCGAACGGGUGAGUAACACGUGGGUGAUCUGCCCUGCACUUCGGGAUAAGCCUGGGAAACUGGGUCUAAUACCGGAUAGGACGAUGGUUUGGAUGCCAUUUUGGAAAGUUUUUUCGUUGUGGGAUGAGCUCGCGGCCUAUCAGCUUGUUGGUGGGGUAAUGGCCUACCAAGGCGUCGACGGGUAGCCGGCCUGAGAGGGUGUACGGCGACAUUGGGACUGAGAUACGGCCCAGACUCCUACGGGAGGCAGCAGUGGGGAAUAUUGCACAAUGGGCGCAAGCCUGAUGAAGCGACGCCGCGGGGGGGAUGACGGCCUUCGGGUUGUAAACUGCUUUCGCUAGGGACGAAGCGCAAGUGACGGUACCUGGAGAAGAAGCACCGGCUAACUACGUG
rnacentral:rRNA from 1 species